GCCAGACUCCUACGGGAGGCAGCAGUCGGGAAUAUUGCGCAAUGGAGGAAACUCUGACGCAGUGACGCCGCGUAUAGGAAGAAGGUUUUCGGAUUGUAAACUAUUGUCGUUAGGGAAGAGAAAGGACAGUACCUAAGGAGGAAGCUCCGGCUAACUACGUGCCAGCAGCCGCGGUAAUACGUAGGGGGCAAGCGUUAUCCGGAUUUACUGGGUGUAAAGGGAGCGUAGACGGCAGUGCAAGUCCGGAGUGAAAGCCCGGGGCUCAACCCUGGGACUGCUCUGGAAACUGUAAAGCUGGAGUGCGGGAGGGGCAGGCGGAAUUCCUGGUGUAGCGGUGAAAUGCGUAGAUAUCAGGAGGAACACCGGCGGCGAAGGCGGCCUGCUGGACCGUAACUGACGUUGAGGCUCGAAAGCGUGGGGAGCAAACAGGAUUAGAUACCCCAGUA
rnacentral:rRNA from 1 species